rnacentral:rRNA from 1 species
UACAGAGGUCUCAAGCGUUGUUCGGAUUCAUUGGGCGUAACGGGUGCGUAGGUGGCGUGGUAAGUCGGGUGUGAAAUUUCGGAGCUUAACUCCGAAACUGCAUUCGAUACUGCUGUGCUUGAGGACUGGAGAGGAGACUGGAAUUUACGGUGUAGCAGUGAAAUGCGUAGAGAUCGUAAGGAAGACCAGUGGCGAAGGCGGGUCUCUGGACAGUUCCUGACACUGAGGCACGAAGGCCAGGGGAGCAAACGGG